rnacentral:rRNA from 1 species
AGAGUUUGAUCCUGGCUCAGGAUGAACGCUGGCGGCGUGCCUAACACAUGCAAGUCGAGCGAACUCUUCGGAGUGAGCGGCGGACGGGUGAGUAACGCGUGGGUAACCUGCCCUGUACACACGGAUAACAUACCGAAAGGUAUGCUAAUACGAGAUAAUAUGCUUUUAUCGCAUGGUAGAAGUAUCAAAGCUUUUGCGGUACAGGAUGGACCCGCGUCUGAUUAGCUAGUUGGUAAGGUAACGGCUUACCAAGGCGACGAUCAGUAGCCGACCUGAGAGGGUGAUCGGCCACAUUGGAACUGAGACACGGUCCAAACUCCCACGGGAGGCAGCAGUGGGGAAUAUUGCACAAUGGCCGAAAGCCUGAUGCAGCAACGCCGCGUGAGCGAUGAAGGCCUUCGGGUCGUAAAGCUCUGUCCUCAAGGAAGAUAAUGACGGUACUUGAGGAGGAAGCCCCGG